UACGAAGGGUGCAAGCGUUACUCGGAAUUACUGGGCGUAAAGCGUGCGUAGGUGGUUCGUUAAGUCUGUCGUGAAAGCCCCGGGCUCAACCCGGGAAGUGCACUCGAUACUGCGAAGCUUGAGUGUCGGAGAGGUUGGUGGAAUUCUCGGUGUAGAGGUGAAAUUCGUAGAUAUCGAGAGGAACACCGGUGGCGAAGGCGGCCAACUGGACGAACACUGACGCUGAGACACGAAAGCGUGGGGAGCAAACAGG
rnacentral:rRNA from 1 species